rnacentral:rRNA from 1 species
UACGGAGGGUGCGAGCGUUGUCCGGAAUCAUUGGGCGUAAAGGGCGCGUAGGCGGCCCGCUAAGUCGAACGUGAAAUCCCCGAGCUCAACUCGGGAACUGCGUCCGAUACUGGUGGGCUUGAAUCCGGGAGAGGGAUGCGGAAUUCCAGGUGUAGCGGUGAAAUGCGUAGAUAUCUGGAGGAACACCGGUGGCGAAGGCGGCAUCCUGGACCGGCAUUGACGCUGAGGCGCGAAAGCUAGGGGAGCAAACGGG